CAUUUACGAGCAUGCUUCCAGGUGUUGAUUUUGCAAAUAUUCUAAGCCAGGUAGAAAGCCUUCUCAGAACAAUUCUUUUUCGUUCGAAACUGUUAAAUGACCAUACUUUUCACUUUGAUUAACUUAAUUUAUAGGACUUGUCAAGUCAUGCAUGGAGACAUAGUUCUAUAAUGACCCUGCCUCCUUUUGGAGACUCUGUUUUAUC
rnacentral:lncRNA from 1 species